rnacentral:rRNA from 1 species
GAUGAACGCUGGCGGCGUGCCUAAUACAUGCAAGUCGAGCGAACAGACGAGGAGCUUGCUCCUCUGACGUUAGCGGCGGACGGGUGAGUAACACGCCCAUAACCUACCUAUAAGACUGGGAUAACUUCGGGAAACCGGAGCUAAUACCGGAUAAUAUAUUGAACCGCAUGGUUCAAUAGUGAAAGACGGUUUUGCUGUCACUUAUAGAUGGAUCCGCGCCGCAUUAGCUAGUUGGUAAGGUAACGGCUUACCAAGGCAACGAUGCGUAGCCGACCUGAGAGGGUGAUCGGCCACACUGGAACUGAGACACGGUCCAGACUCCUACGGGAGGCAGCAGUAGGGAAUCUUCCGCAAUGGGCGAAAGCUUGACGGAGCAACGCCGCGUGAGUGAUGAAGGUCUUCGGAUCGUAAAACUCUGUUAUUAGGGAAGAACAAAUGUGUAAGUAACUAUGCACGUCUUGACGGUACCUAAUCAGAAAGCCACGGCUAACUACGUG